UUAAGUGUUUUCUUUCCUCUUGUUUCAUAUAAGCGAUUUCAAAAAUUUGACGAUAAGAGGGUUACCCUCUUCUGUAAUACAACUCGAAGUUCGUGUGAAGAGGCAAUUGUUUCAAAAAAAUCAACUUAUUUCUGCACUAGAGUCUCGCAUGUGAUAUGCGAGUAAUGAAUUCAAAAUAACUCGUUGUCUCAAUGGUCCAGCUAGUUUGAAUAAUAGCAACCGAAACUCAUCAAACAUUACUUCUCUAAUGAUGAGUUUUGAAUACGUUACGACCUCACUGGUACAGCCUCGCACAGUCCUAGAAAGCGUCAAAAUUACCUCGCAAGAAACAAUCACACUGCCUCCAUGUACGCUAUUUAUUCUUUCAACUCACCUUUAUAAAUUGCCUAUCAUAUUUCCAUACUUACAUCACAAACCUAUCUACUCGUUGUAACGCUUCGGUCGUGGAAAACAAAGAAAUGAAGCAAGUUUCAUUUUAAAGAAACGAACUUGGAAACAAAAGCAAUGGCGCUUAAGCUACGAUUUGGAGGUGAUUUUAGACAAAUGAAUAAUUGGGAACAGAUUAUCUCUUUUGUAUCUCAGAGCGGAAUCUUCUGAAGACAUAGCAACGAACCAAGGUGAAAGUGACAAGCGGCGUCGCCAAAUCUGUAUUGGACCGGAUCAGAUCAUGGAACGGAUCAAGGACCGGAUCAGAUCACGCAUCGAAAAAAAGCGAGAGGUGCGUAUCAUUUCACCAGUCAGUUAUUAUCAUUAUUUUUACAAUAUCAUGACACGUACUACUUUUCCUUUAUUCAAUGUCAUUUAGCACAGGCGAGAGAAGAGGCGGGAUGAGGAGUAAGAUUGUUCUAGAAAUGAGUGCUGAAGUGCACGUAAGCGAUUCUUGUGGUCCAUGAAAGUGACACAUGGGGUUUGGGGCAAAAAAACUUCCAGUGGGGCCUACGGUCCAUUACGUCAAUAAACCUAUUUUAAUUUUUUUUUUAAACUCUUUUUAAAGUAUUAAUAUUUUAUAAACAAUUGGAUUUUUUUAAAUUUUUCAAAAAAUUUUUUUUCGAUCCUUGAUCCGAUCCGUGAUCUAGUCGGGUCCGAUCCAGAUUUUGUUGACGCUGAUGUGACAUGUAAACAAGCUAACUUCAACAUAUCGUUCACAUGAAAUUAUCAUAUCAAUGAUAUUGACAACGCUUACAUUUUGCAUUGAUAUUCGUCUUUCAGCUACACUAACACGUUCUAACACGUAGAAAGAUAUAUAAUUACAUAACCCCACAAUUUUCGAAAGCAAAGCAUUAGUCUCAUAGGCUACUGUUGUUUCUGCCGACAUUUCUAUCAUCUAUUAACUUCAUGCAUAACAACGAACGGGUGAUUAACGCUUAUGAAAAAGAGACUCGAGAAAAUUAUUUCAAAAGUUGAGUCUUUUAGAGGUACAUCGCUUUACGCUUCUUUUCUGAUUUGUACUUAUGCUUUGGCAAAGGCCGCGUCCAAUUCGUGUAUUGCGUUCUUGAUUUUUUAAGUGCUCUACACGAUGCCGCACGCAACUCGCCUGCCUCGGUUAGGAGAAGAACAAUACUAGCUCAACGUAGAGCCAAAUGACACCGUUUAAGUCAGUUUAUGAGUGAAAUCUUGGAUCCAAGCACUACGGAUACUAACUGAACCAUCUCUGCGGGAAAGAUUUCGACUUCGAAGAUGUCAUUAGUACUUAUCACAAUUGGAUGAAUGACAAAUAUCCGAAUAACAAUUUGCUGAUGAGAGAUGUCUAUUUGAUCGGACAAUUGGAAGCGUUGACAGAUGUCAAAUAUUCACCCCGAUGGUAUAAUUUUCUU
rnacentral:lncRNA from 1 species